GACGAACGCUGGCGGCAGGCUUAACACAUGCAAGUCGAGCGCCCCGCAAGGGGAGCGGCAGACGGGUGAGUAACGCGUGGGAACGUACCCUUUGCUACGGAAUAGCUCCGGGAAACUGGAAUUAAUACCGUAUGUGCCCUACGGGGGAAAGAUUUAUCGGCAAAGGAUCGGCCCGCGUUGGAUUAGCUAGUUGGUGGGGUAAUGGCCUACCAAGGCGACGAUCCAUAGCUGGUCUGAGAGGAUGAUCAGCCACAUUGGGACUGAGACACGGCCCAACCUCCUACGGGAGGCAGCAGUGGGGAAUAUUGGACAAUGGGCGCAAGCCUGAUCCAGCCAUGCCGCGUGAGUGAUGAAGGCCUUAGGGUUGUAAAGCUCUUUCACCGGAGAAGAUAAUGACGGUAUCCGGAGAAGAAGCCCCGGCUAACUUCGUGCCAGCAGCCGCCGUAAGAC
rnacentral:rRNA from 1 species